CAAUGACUUUAUCAUAAAUGCAACAAGUGGGGAUGGGAAUGUGGAGAGUGAUUUCCUAGAAGAGAGAAACUGAGGCUCGGCUGGUGAAAAAGGUUCCACGAGGCUCCUCCUCAUCCAGAGCCUUAGAAGGAAGGCCCAGUGAGAGUCCCACCUUGCAGGACUGCUGUGAGCAUGAAAGAGUGCAAGGACUCGGAACACGGGGUGGGACUCUGAGUGCCCCCCCGCCCCAUGAUGCCGCAAUCCUGAUGCCGCAAUCCCUUGUUCCUGACGCCAUCUACUCCAGUGUGUCUCAUCCUUCUCAAAGGAACCCACUCAGAGGGCCAGAGCAGCCCAGUCAGUCGGAGUGUGGUACAAGGAUCUCUGGGAGCUAAUCCUGAGUCACUACCAGCUGUCUGGUCUUGUCACCAAUGUCACUUCCAAGCUCAGUCUGUGCAUCUGCAGGAUGGAGGCAAAUGUGCCUCAGGAUGCAGUAGUGCAGACAAAUUAAGACCACAUGUGUGAGCAGAGUGAUUGUUGAACGCAGGAUGCCACAUUCCCAUAGAGUCUGCAUCGCCAGGCUGGGUCAUCUGCCUGCCUGCCUGCCUGUGG